CCCUGCUCACGAUCUUUAAAAUGAAUAACAAGAGAUAACGAGAAGAUAAAAUUAAAACUAGAAGGACGAUAACGGGCCAUACCUCUUCUGCCGUCAUAAACGUCCUGGCUACCUCGUAAGGACCGCCACGAACCACUAUCUCCUCCAAGAUAAUCGCGAAGCUGUAAACGUCGCCCUUCUGCGUCGCGGCGCUCCCAGGGGUUACCGUUAACGGCAGCAAUUCUGGAGCGAUCCAAAGCAUGACUCACUAGUGUAAUAAGUCUCGUCCAUAAUCAAAUCGGAGGGCGUGGUGAGAGUUUUAAGUCCGAAAUCUGAGAUUUUCAGUACGAAACGACCAUCUAUCAGACAAUUGCACGACCGCAAUUUCCCGUGAGCGGAAACUUCGCUAGCAUGAAGAUAGGACAUUCCCUGUAAAAAGACAGGUUUUUUUAAAUUCUUUUCGUAAGCUUUUGUACAUGGUGUCUUAAUCAAUUAAUUUCGCGUAAUUAUAUGAAUUCAUAAAAAUAAUAAAUCGUUAAGCAUAGUA